CAUCUAUAGGUCCCCAAAGAAAAGAAGGUUGUCCAGUAGGAAAAGUACCUAUUCGGAGGACUAAAUUUGGUCAUCAAUUUAACCAACAGUUUCGUGGCCAACACGUAAGUUCCUUUUACAAUAACACUUGUAGAAGCUUAUAUUUGAUGCAAGCAUUCUACAGAAAUUCUAAGCAAGCUUGGUGAUUUGUAAGAUUACAUGCAAAACAACACUUGUCUAAAUCAAUUAGCACCAAUCUAUUAUUGAUUAUUGAGUAAUAGUACUUAAUUAAUUAUGAGUCUUCAUGCAUAGCAACUAAAUGUAAUGACUCAUCACAAAAUCAUCCCAUAUAUAGGAAUGCUUCUCUCAUUAUGAAAAUUAAGCUACUAAGAUAUCUAGCCAAGACAAAAACAAUAAAAAUAAAAAUUGAUAAAUUUUGUAACCAAGGUGCCAAAAGUCCAAAAUGAAAGCUCCCACCUUUCUUUUUUUCAUGUAAUUGAAAAUUAUUCGAUACAAGUUAUUAUGAUUAUUUUUUUCCCCCUAAGAAUGCCCUUUUUUUUUUUCUAUAUUUUUUCUGAUAAAUUUUGUUUCGGAAACAAAUAUAUUUUUGUCUAUAAGUUUGUUUCCAGCUUGCAACACUUGAUACUAUAAAAAAUGUAUCAUACCAUGGAGGAGAAUCACUAAUCUCCAUAUACUUAAAAACAAUGGUGGGUUUGUAGUCUAGUUUUUGUAAAGGCAAUUUUGAUUUUACGUACAAUUGUGGAUAUCACACAUAUGAUGAGAGAUGAUCAACUCUUGGGUCAUAGACACUCUGCACAAAAUCUCUCUUAUUGCCCGGAUCACAAUUGUUUCGUCAUAGCCUCUUAUCCCAAACGACUAUUAUAUCUACCAUGGACACAGGAAGCCAUUGCAGGUCAUAUAUUUCCUUCAGAAGCUCUUUAUCUAUUUAGUUUCUGACUCCAUUGUGGUUUUACCUGGUUUUGCUGGUUAUGUUAGCUUCCAGGUGUUUGUUAAAUUGUGCAAAUGAAAGUUUUCUGCCCUCGUUCAAUAGAAAGAUUGCUAAUUUCAUGUUUUCAAACAUGAAAAUAGAUUAUAAGUUUGUUGUUAUUCAAAUUCUUUGAACUUAUAGUACUUUUAAGUGUAUCAUUCAAGUAUGAUUUAAAAGUAGUUUAAAAACUAUUUCAUGAAUCACUUUCUCUUAUAUAAUUCCAGCAAAAAAGAAACUUGCUCCAUGUAUUAGUUUUUUUUUUUUUUUUUCCCUUUGUUUUACUUCUUCCACUGUCCACAAGGUUAACAAUAUAAUUAAUAUUCUAAGAAUGAAAAAGGUAUAAUUUGAAGUCACAUGUUCACUAAAAAAUUAGUAUUCAUUUAAUAAUAUGCUACUGAUAAUGGUGGUUGUAAUAGCUUAUAUGCUAUCGAUAAGGAGGGUAUUUCUGGAGCUGUGUAUUUCUUGUGGUGGUCUGUUGUUGGAAUGUUUUGCUUUUUGAAUAUUCCAUUGAUUUCUUCUCCUGGGUUUAAAUAUACCAAUCUGCAGUUUUGUUUAUUUAUUUUUAUGUAUAUUUCCAUUACUAAUUUGAGGAUAGAUAUAAUUUAGUAAAAUUCAUCAAGCUGGUUCAGCAAACUGGCCUAUAUGAUCAUCUCCAAAUUGACACCUAUGUUCGUGCUGAAUAGAAUUCUGAGCAAUAAUAUAAAUAUAAAUCAUUGCGAGCAUUUUUCUUAGUGAAGAGAAUGCUAAACUUCUAUCUUGUUGAUUUGUUUCUUCAUUACUCUUUUUUCUUGCUAAACUUCUAUCUUGUUGAUUUGUUUCUUCUUUACUCUUUUUUUGUUCUGUUUAUAAUUCAGGGGAUUCCCUGUUUGGCUUAAAUAUACUCCGGGAAUUGCCUUUCAAACAGACAAUUAUCCUUUCAAGGUUUGGCAUUUGAAAUAUUUUAUUAUCUUCCUUUUUUCUUUUUUCUUUUUUCUUUUAAUAUCUGAUUAAUUGUACGAAGGUGGCAAUACAAAAGUUUGCCGGGAAGAUAGUCAGUAUGAUGAAGGCAGCGAGAUUGUAUGAUACUCAAGGAGGUUCCAUAAUUCUUUCUCAGAUUGUAAAUGAAUUUGGAUGAACUUGGCAAAGCUUAUACCAAAUGAGCAGGGCAGCUCUAAUGGCUGUGGGACUUAAACUUGACACUUAGAUUUACAGGGAUCAUGCGCAAGCAAAAGAAGAUGAUGUCCUUGUUCUCUUAAUAAGCAACUGAGGCCAUGUUUCCAACGUUUUAUUUUUUCUCUUUCUUUAAGAAAAAGGUGAAAUAACUUUUGGGGAUGAUGCAUUCUCUUGGCAAUGAUAGAAUGAACAAACUGCCUUUUCUGAUGAUUCUGACACAACUAGGUAUUAGAGGGGUUGUGGGAAAAAAUAUAUAUCACUAGGGAUAGUACAGACUAUGUGUGAUACUUGACAUAAUAAGUAUUAAGAGCAGAUAACCGCGUUGCCUCUUUUGAGAUAUUUAAUAGGUAAAAUAUCUGCACCAUUUUAAAUCUUUUAUGCUAGAUGACAUUUAUUUCUUUUCUUUACUUUAAUCAGUACCUGACUGAUGGUUUCCAUUUUUCGCAAUGGAAUGUCGGUGUUCUAGGCCACUAACACUGAAAGUUCUCAAUUCAGGAUUAUGAGACAUGUCAAAAAGGGAAAAUAACUUAUUGAUGUGUUUUCCCUUCCCUGUUCCAGUUCUUCCCCUGCUAUCAUACUGAAGUUUUAUCUUUGCGGCUGAGAAAUUGACUUUGAGAAUAACUCAUUGAUGGUUGCUUAGUAGAUUGGUCUGAAAGGGGAAGCAAUGAACCUGCAUACUCUUGGUAAUAGUUCUUCUGCAGAAAGGUCUUUAUUAGCUCAAAAACAACCCCUACCUGUUAUGAGGUGAGACUAAUUCCAAAACCAAAAGAAAACCACUUUUGGGAAUUUAUCCAACAUAACAAUUCAUUUUACACUCCAUUUCGAGACUACUAUAAAUGUCCCGUUAGCUUCAGAUAUGAGCAGCAUGGGAAAGGGAGAAAUGUGGAUGAACAGUAAGAGCAUUGGACGCCACUGGCCAGAAUAUAUAGGAUGUGAUGGCUGUGGUGCAUGUAAUUAUGCCAGAAAUUGUUAUGACAGAAAAUGUCAAAACAAAUUGUGGGGAACCUCCCAGGAAUGGCGAGGAAACUUGUCACUCCAUUGUUAUGAUUUGUUUUUUUGGGUUGGGAAGUUUGCGUUUAAAUUGUUAGUUUCAGGUAUCAUACAGGUCGCUUGUGGGUGAAACGAAGUGGUAAUUUAUUAUUUAUUCUUGAAGAAUGGGGUUGUAAUCGGAUUAGAAUUUCUUUAGUCCAGAGUAACAGCAGGCUGUGUCUGUACUGAUUUAUUUUGAGUGGUAACUGACAAUGAGAUGCUGGAAAACCCUUUAUUCCAAUUUUAUUAUUAUUAUUAUUA